GACGAACGCUGGCGGCGUGCCUAACACAUGCAAGUCGAACGAGGUCCAUCCUUCGGGAGAAGACCUAGUGGCGAACGGGUGAGUAACACGUGAAGAACCUGCCCCGAAGACCGGGAUAACCCUCCGAAAGGAGAGCUAAUACCGGAUACCCCCACCGAACCGCAUGGUUUGGUGAGGAAAUGGAUUCCGCUUCGGGAGGGCUUCGCGGCCUAUCAGCUAGUUGGUGGGGUAACGGCCACCAAGGCAUCGACGGGUAGCUGGUCUGAGAGGACGAUCAGCCACACUGGGACUGAGACACGGCCCAGACUCCUACGGGAGGCAGCAGUGGGGAAUCUUGCGCAAUGGGCGAAAGCCUGACGCAGCAACGCCGCGUGGGGGAUGAAGGCUCUCGGGUUGUAAACCCCUUUCAGCAGGGACGAAUCAAGACGGUACCUGCAGAAGAAGCCCCGGCUAACUACGUGCCAGCAGCCGCGGUAU
rnacentral:rRNA from 1 species